AAUGAUUGCAAAUUGUGUUUACCAUUCUAAUUGUUACACAUUGCGUGUGUAAUGAAUUGUUUGAUCAUGGCAUGCUGCUACCAACACGCAAACACAUGUGUUUUUGAAACAGAGCAACAUGGAAUGUGAGAGUCAUGCUUGGUUUGCGCAUAUUGGGUACAGUGUGUGCCUUGUGAUCCACAUUCCUCGCCAUUGGAAUGCAAAUAAUCAUGGUAGUGUUCAUGAAGCAUCAUACUUGUUUGAGAUUCAUGAUGGGCAAGUACCAUGAGGGAAAUGUGAAAAGGACUUUGGAAAGAGAUUUAAACAGAGCUUACAAUUGUUGACCAUAUAUGCAAGUGAAGCAUAUUCGUGGAAUUUUGAAUAUUGUGAUUGGGUGUUCUGUUCAUGAUUGUUGUUCUUUUCCACUGUACAUUAUUGCUGCAUGCUUGCAUGUAAUACAUCUGUUAGUUCUACAAUUACUUUUGUUUGGAUUUACUUACAGGUUUGCUUAUGUGUGACAGUUCAUGCAACUACCCAUAUGUUCCAUGUGCGUAAGUGCUACUGCUUACAAAGCACAUAUGAUUUAUGUGACAGUGUGCAUUGUGAGUUCACCAUGGCUGAUUUAUGACAUCACUUGACCCGUCUUGAAACACGGACCAAGGAGUCUGGCAAGUGUGCUAGCAGAAUGAUGACAACCAUAAUGCAAUGAACAUAAUGGUUGGGACAUGUGCAACGCUUAUCAAGUGCUGGUUUGUGUGCAUUUGAAAGUGAGCAUUGUUGCCAGGACCCGAAAGAUGGUGAACUAUGCUUGCGUAAAAUGAAUUCAGAGGAAACUCUGAUGGAAGUUUGUAUCGGUACUGACGUGCAAAUCGUUCGUCAUAAGUGGGUAUAGGGGCGAAAGACUAAUCGAACCAUCUAGUAGCUGGUUCCUCUUGAAGUUUCCCCCAGGAUAGUUGGGAUUCCCUAGUUGUAUUAAUUAAAGCAAAUGUUUACAGGAAUUAGGGGCUUGCUGGCCUUUGACCUUUUCUCAAACUUUUAAUGUGUGCAUGUUGAAUACCUCAGUGUAUCAUGACCAAUAAGCAAUCCAAGUGGGCCACUUUUGGUAAGCAGAAGUGGCGAUGAGGGAUGAACCUAAUGUUGGGCAAACAUGCUGAAGCACUUGCCUAUGUGAUACCAAAAAGGGUGUUGGUUCAU
rnacentral:rRNA from 3 species